rnacentral:rRNA from 1 species
UGCAGAAUCCCGUGAACCAUCGAGUUUUUGAACGCAAGUUGCGCCCGAGGGAUCCUCCCGAGGGCACGCCUGCCUGGGUGUUAGAAGCCCAUCAACGCUCGGUCAGCCUCUUUACAAAGGACUGACUUGACGUGGACAAUGGACCUCCGAGCCAGUAAUGGCACGGUGGGCUGAAGUGAAUGGUCGUCGGAUGGUAAUAGGAUCGGCAAGUGGUGGGCUACUGCGCACGCCAAUCCUAGCUGCCAUUUCGACGUAUGGCCUCUAUAUAACCCAGUCGUAACGAGGGGAUUGUUGUCACAGCAUCUUGUUGUGUGACAAUUUCGGACCGAUACCCCAGGUCAGGCGGGGCCACCCGCUGAGUUUAAGCAUAUAAAUAAGCGGAGGAGAAGAAACUUACAAGGAUUCCCCUAGUAACGGCGAGCGAACCGGGAGUAGCCCAGCCUUAGAAUCGUGGUGGCCUUGCUGCCCGA